ACAAAGUGCAGGCAAUGUCUUCCUCAAGCAUGGCUCGGAACUACGCCUAAUUCCUCGUGAUAGGGUUGGAGCUGCCUGAUCUCGGUGCCAAUGUAAACUACGAUCCCUUUAUCUGCUCGCCUUAGUUAACUGGCUUAAUUUGCAACCUGAAGCUGGGAGAAUUUAAUACUUGUUUAUCACAUUAUUGUAACUGGUUAGAACCGAUUUCCUUCUUAAUUAAAUAAAUGAGCCUCCUUAUUUCGG
rnacentral:misc_RNA from 1 species